UUAUUUAUUUUUGCCAGUCAUAGUUAAGUCACUACAUGUAGCGCACAUAGUAACCCGCUGUGACACACGUAGAAUUUAAAUUGUUUGGAACAAAGAUCCAUUUACAUCCAUUACAGUCGAGUUGUUGCAAUUUUACACAGCACAGAUCAGAGAAACCAAACAUCGCUCAGCGCAAUACUUGCACAUUCAGCACAAACACUAUUGCGUGGCGUCCACUGGAGGGCAGUAACGCAGGAAACCAUCAACAUUUUCUGCUUCCGCUUAAGAUGACACUGUCAACACACACGAUCGUUUUUCUGCAAUAAUACUGUUGCUGUUGUCACGUUAUUCCGCGGGUGCCUACAGAGAAAUUCGUCACGCGAGAGGGUCGUUUUCAUAAGGGUGAUUAUUUUCAUUCAUUGGCUCGAGGUGUCGUCGAGGAGACAGGACGAUGUCCGAAGCGCUUUUCCUCACAUUCCAGUCUCAGCUCUCCGUGGUCAUGGAGACCGUCCUCAAAUCAGCCAUGUUUGAGAUCACCAGGCUGGUGGAGGACAGCUUCCUCGAGGAAGUGGGUCAUCGGAAACAGGAGCUGGAGGUCUUGAAAAGAAGGCUGCAGCUGUCUGAGAGUAAACUGAGGGAGAGGGAGAGGGAAUGGGAACGGGAAAGGGAAAGAGAACGGGGGAAGAAGACACGGUGCCCGGACUGUGGCCGAGCAGGAGACUCCAGCAGCAGAGAUGAGAGCCAACCUGUCGACACAGUUCGUGGAGCAGACAGCCUUUGUUUAGGCCUAAGCCUGAGAGAUCAGUCUACCAAUCAGCCUACACUAAUUGAAGAUGUGUGGAGUGCCAGACAACACCUGGAGACUAACAAACAAACAACAGUACACUCACACUCUAAAGAGAAGAAUGAUGUACACCCACAGAAUGCAAAAAAGAUAGUCACACCUAACUCCAAUGCACAAAUUCAUCAGGAUUUUCUGCAGAGGCUUCUGGGCAAUUCAGCCGUUCACAGUGAGUCCACCAGUGACUUCAAACCCAGAGUGAGUGAUUUAGACAAAUCCGAAAACAAUAUUACUCUCGAUAAGGAAAUGGACUCACACCACUCAGAACUGUUACAAAGUCCUCAGGAUAAGCCCAACGAUUUGCCGGCAUCUUCGCCAAACGGUAGAGUAAAAACAGAAACAGAGCUGGAUCUUCUACCUGUCAAGGAGGAGGAAGAGAUGGUUCCGGUGUGGGACAGCGUCAACAGAGAUGACGGGUGCCAUGCAGAAAUGGCUGAUCCAAGUCAGGGAGAGCUCAGAGGACCUUGUGAUCAGGAGGAGAUACAGGUAGAAAGCUUUCCAGGUCUAAACUCUCUCGACAUGCCAGGCGCCAUCUCAUAUUUCACACCUUAUUCAGUCAGCACACUGGUACAUCAAGGUAUUAGGGCACACCAUAGUCAUUUAUGCACAACAGAGCAGAUGCUUUCUAGCAUACCAGAGAGAUCACGUUCAUUUUUCCAACCAGAAAAUGGACACAGAUAUCCUGGUUCAAAAAGUUCUCUCCUCUAUUCUCACAAUGAUGUUUGUCCAGGCGAGAACGCAACGAGCCACGAGCAAUACCCAAAGCGUUUCUCCCAGGACAAACUUGGGACGCCUGAACAAAUCCAUGCAGAAAGAUCCCACCAUUGCACCCAAUGUGGGAAAACGUUUGCAAGAGCAUGUGACCUCAAGGCUCAUUCGCUGAUCCACAAGGGCAAGAAACCUCUGAGAUGUCGGCAGUGCGAUCAGACAUUCGCGUACAACUUCGAGCUCAAGGCUCACCAGCGAAAUCACUCAGGGGAGCGACCUCACAUCUGUCAGCACUGCGGCAAGGCCUUCGCUCGAAUGAGCAACUUCAGGCAGCAUCAGAACAUCCACACUCGGGAGAAACUCUUCAGCUGCACUCAAUGCGGGAUGCGAUUCAAUCGAGCCACCAACCUGCGAGUUCAUCUCAGACGACACAGCCACGCAGGGAAGACCUACAAUUGCCCUUUUUGUGGAAAGAGCUUUCUGAACCCCAGACAAAUGAAGGCUCAUUUACAAAAAGCCCAUGGAAGAAGCGGGAAAUAAACAUGUCUAAUUUGAAAAUUCAGUUUGAACUGUUAGAUCAAUUCAUGUUUACAUAUAAUAAAUGGUCUGCGUUGUUAUAACUCAAGAAGAUAGCAGAGGACCCACUGUCCCAUCGUUUCCACUUUAGAGAGAACUAAACAAGAUCUGGACAAAUUGUUAUGCAUGGAAUGUUUGCAUUAUAGAAAGAUGAGGAAUCUUUGGUUUCCUUAUAGGUUUAAUACAUAGAGAAAUUGGAAUGACUGAUUUACACCAACAGGAAAUAUUUUGCUGUUGUAUUAUCAAUGUAUAAUAUCUGGUAUAUAUUAUAUAUUUAAUGUUUUAUGUAUUCCCUCCAACAACAGUAAAGGCACAGUUUGUAGCACACCCUUUUACCUGAGAAUGUUUAUAUUUUAACUAAAAAGGUACCCUGGCUUUCACUUAAAUUGUGAUGUGUCCUUGUUGUUUCAACUUUCAUGGCAUUUUGUUGGAAAAAGUAAAUGAACCAUCAGAUGUAGCAACUGGUUGCACCUCUAUUUCUUGUUCUUGACAAUCAGUCCCACCUCAGCAAGUCAGUAAAGUAAGUCCAAAAUUCUCCAGCUCCCUUCAGUCUUCCUUUCAGACUUCAAUUCUCCUUUUCAGUGUGUUUUUUUAUUUAUAUUUUUUUGGAUUGAUGAACACUGUUGUUGGACAAUACAAGACCUCCUGCUCAGCCAUUUCCACAAGAUUUCGGUGAUCUCCAGCAGCAUUGUGUCUUGAUGCCUGCCUCUCCUGGAGUGACCGUAGCCGGACACCUAUAUUCCGCUAAAAUACAGAUUGGCCAGAGGUUUGCAGAACACGUUUCCACGGAACAAGGAAAUUUACACCCCAUGAACAAGCAGAGAACAUUCAGUGUGGUGGCCAGAGAGAUCCUGACUCAGUGUCAGGUGUGGCAGAAGGCCUGCUAUAGCAGGA